GUGCAGUGAGGCACUCUGAAGCACAAGUGCCGUCGUUAUCCUGUGACUGGGUAAGUGGCCUAGCAGUGGCUGGGCACACUUCAACACUUGUCAAGGCAUCACACCUGUAAUGAUGUUCUGACACCAAAGGAGCUUUGAGAAUGUGUUUGAGAAUUAAUACAAAUGUUUGAAUUAUGUGUGUAAAAUUUAACUUUUGGGAAAAUAGAGCAGCACUCUUAAAAAAAAAAACAAACACUUGAAAUAUGUACAAUGUUAGAGAAUUACGUAAAUACAUUAAGUGUAUUACCUAUGAGUGUUGUUAUAUUUAUAUGUUGUUAAUACAGAACCUGCAUUAUUGUUUACACCUUAAGUACAGUAUUUAUAGACUUGAACCAUUUGACCAUCUUCUAUUACAAAUUACAAAGUAUAAAAUAAAUGGCCAUUUAAAUACA